rnacentral:rRNA from 1 species
GAGAGGAUGAUCAGCCACACUGGGACUGAGACACGGCCCAGACUCCUACGGGAGGCAGCAGUGGGGAAUAUUGCACAAUGGGCGCAAGCCUGAUGCAGCCAUGCCGCGUGUGUGAAGAAGGCCUUCGGGUUGUAAAGCACUUUCAGUCAGGAGGAAAGCGUGGUGGUUAAUACCCAUCAUGUGUGACGUUACUUGUACAGAAGAAGACACCGGCUAACUCCGUGCCAGCAGCCGCGGUAA